UUCUUGUUUUGUAAAGAAAAGAAAAAGAAACUGUAAAUUGUACAUCGCAAUUGCAUUCUGUUUGAUACCUCAAUUCAAAUUCAGGAACUGAAUUAGAAAGGCAUUCUCAGUUCAAUUCUGAAUGUCGCAGAACCUUGCUGUACUGACCCAACCGCUAGCUAAUUCCCAUCACAUCCUUCUUCGGCCCAGAGAAAAUGUCCAAUAUUGCUCUUGAUUUCGGUGAGAGACAGGCAGACAAACACAGAAGAAGCUGGAAGCAGUGGAAAUCAAUUAUGUCAGCCGUAAGAGAGAGUGGCGUCCUCUCAAACUGAGCACAGCCGUCGCUGCUCUGAGCAGGUUAGCUUUAAUCAUCCGCACACCCUCAGUCCCAUUCAGCGUCUCGCCACUCUUAGCCGUAGCCCUUAAAGCUUUUGAUAUGGAUACGUCUGCAGCCUUUCUCACUGCUCUUUUUCAGUUUGCAGUCUCUGGUUUAAGAAUUGAUUGCUCCUGCUUUGGUCCUCUGAAUUGCUGCCUGGAAAGAGGGGUCCCCACUCGUUCAAAAAAAAAAAAAAAAAAAGGAAAAACUUGCAUCAAAUCAAAUGGAAAUCUGGAGGAAGUAAGGAAGACAAAACGGAUGAAGCUGACCUUCCCUGAUAAUAGAGGGCAUGGUACACUCUCUCCUAUCAUGUCUGAGAUUCGUUAUGGGGUCACCACCAGUAGUGACGGACAGGUGGCUGUUGUAAGGCUACGACCCAUAACAGUUGUGAUGUAAUUGAAAUACGGCAAGCUUUAGAACUCUGUUAACUUCAGUUGGGCUGUUUGAUAAGAAAUGAUGUGACUCUCAUCAGAUCUAUUUAUUUAUUUAUUCAUUUGAAAAUACAUUACAUUUGCAACACAUAUACAAUAACUUUAAUACACCCAUUCUUUGAUGAACAUGUUUUUAAGCAUUAAAAUUAAUUUUAUAAAGAAUGUUCUUUAAAUUCUUAAAUUGUUUAUAUAUUUUUAAUAUUUGUUUUCAUUUAUAUUACAGCAGUGUCACUGCUUAUAAAUUACUUGGGGGAAAAAACUGUAACCAAAAUCAAGGCAGUGUUGGUAUUGACUAAAUCUAUUAUUUUUUUUUUUACUUGAAAUAAUGCUGAAAUUAAAUAUCAAUAUUAGAUGUAAAACUUAAAAACUUUUUUAAUCUAGUUGCCAAAACAUUUCUAAUUUUCAUUAAAGUACUAAAAUGACUGAAAAUAAAAAUACAUUAAAUAAAAAAACAUUCAUUAAAAAAAUAACUAAAACUUGAAAACUUACAAUAUAAAAGCUAAUUCAAAAUAUGAAUACAUACUAUAAAAGUAUAAUACUAACGUGGUGUGACCAAAACAAACAAACAAACAAAAAAACAUGAAUUUAUAUCAUAGAGAGGAGUUUUCUUUCCUUUUCAAAAGAUUUUUUUUUUUUUUUUUUUUGUGGACAUGUGGCACAUAGGUGUGUGGAUACCAUCCUUAACUUGACUCAUUGGCAGGCAUUUGCAUGAUAGCGAGUGAUAGAAAUAGCAAAGAAUAAAGUCUUAAGCAUGACUGUAGUGUUCAGUCAUCCUGUGUCAGCCUGAAUGCUUUCUAAAGUGAGCGAACUGAGCAUUCUGAGAUGAAUGAACACAAUAUGGCCCUCUCGUUGCUUCCACCCUCCCACCGUCGGCCUGUCUAGACGGUAUACAAUUGUAACAUUACAAAUCGAUGAUACACCCAAGGCUCCCCUCACACAGAGGUAGACACCUCUAUUCCUAUUAGGCCAGAAGGUGUUUGAGUACCAACCAUCUAUCAUGCAAACCCUGGGUCAGCCAGCUCUCUGAUCUCUUCAACAUUAAACUUAGCAUAUCAGCCCUACGUGCAUGCGCCAUUAACUUGUAUAUGUGCCUUUAUCUUUCAGAGUGGUGCGCAACAACAUCCAUUGGCAACUUACUGCAGAGAAGUGUGUUUGUGGGAGAAGAAAGGUCAUUUCAAGAGCAACGCCAGCCUGGAAAAGCAGAAGCUGCCCAUGAAUUAGUGAUGGUGUUGCUCUUCUUGACAGUUGUACUCUCCAGAACACACACGCACACACUCUUGCACUCAAACUCACUGUCGUUGAUGUUUAACCCAUCUUUUUCCAGACCCUGCCAGGAUAUUCCGUGUAGAUGUGGAUCAUGUGCUGCCCUCCAUCCACCCCUUGACACACUCUCUUCCAGUUCUGGCCUCUCCUGCCUGUGUGUUGACAUGCAAUUAACUGGAGCAGAAAUGUCCUACUCUCCCCACUCUGCGCGGGCCUCGAACCCGGGUCUCUGGCGUGGAAGAUGGACGCUCUAACAAGGAGGCUAAAGGCUGCAACCCCUAGCGUCAGUCACUAGAGCAUCUCUUGAGAUCAGGGGAGAGGUUUACUCGCACAGCGACUACUAGUGGGCCUCCGUUACACUCACCCCCCUAAACCUCACUCCCAUCCGGGUCACGGCACCAAUGUGACUGUGUGGAUGGUGGAUGGUCACCCAAAGUUGCUUUACUGGGCCUGGGACAAGACACAACUGGGACAAACAGCACCAAAAGGCUGAUUAGAAUGCAGUGCAGCGAUGUUGCAUGAGAAGUCUUAAAUGAAAUAAACAGAAGUUCGGAGUUCACAAGCAGGCCAAUUAACACACUCUUCAUCUUAUCGUCACAAAUAACACAUAUUUGACUCGACUAACACAACCAGGAGCUGACGAAACAAAAUAAGUAGACUUUUGUGUAGUUUAAAGUUCAGACUUGGGCUUGAAAACGAUCCAAACUUAGAUAUUAAGACGGAGCAAUCAUUGAUGCGACUUACCAGCAGGACGAGAUAUAUGCGACUCUGCUGAUUACAUAGCUCCGCCCCGCAAUAUCAUGUGCACAACGCAAGCAACACAACAGCCAAUGGCGAGUUUUCCCAAUUUAAGCUGAAUUUAACUAACAUAUUUUUAAACUCCAUUACAUAUAGGCCACAAACGCCUUAAUAAGCUCAACUCUUGUUACUCAACUCUUUUUACAAACAACAUUGGGCGCAUUGUAAUUACAAUCUGACGAUAUCAAGCAUUCUGUCACGUCGCAAUCCCUCGCACAGCAUCCGUGGGUGCGCCGAUGCGGUUAUUUUUAUCGAUUUUUUUGAAAUACAAAUACAUCAAACAAACACAUCGAAUUGACAUGUCUUUUGACAUUGUAGGUUUUGCAUAUGCCAAGUACUUUACUACAGAGCAAACAAAGGCUGCCCAUCUCGCUCAUUGACAGCAAACUAAUUCUCCAUUCUUCCAGUCUUCUUACCUUCGAUGCUGAUGCUACGACUCUUCUUUUUUGCAAUGUGUUCCUUCAUUGUUAUGUUCCUCAUUUUCGUUUUUCUCCUCUAAUAACAAAUUUGUCCAUUUUGAUCCCUAAAUUUACAAAAAAUAAUGGCUACAAUUGGAAUUCUGCCAAAGCGCGCGCUUGUAAGUGUUCGUUAAGUAAUCAGUAGUAGGUCUGUGCAUGUCUGAAAAUAAUAUAUGAUCACCAAAAUUAUUUUAUAUGACAAAAAACAUUAUGGUUCAAACUUGUAUUCAUUUAAUCCAUUUUAAUUUAAUUUAAAAACAAAAAUAAUUUAUAAAACUGGAAUUUAUUUUUUAAAUGUGGUCGGCAUAUCGUGGGGCGCAUUUGCAUUCGUGACGGGUUGAGAAAUACCGCCAUAAACAAAACGUUUUUUCCUUGGCUCAAGACGAUUCAGUUGCACCAUAUGACGUCAUUUUCCGUCAUGAAAAUGUUUCUGCCAUUUUGAGUUUUCUGGAAAAAAAAAAAAAAAACAAGUACUUUUUCAACAGUUGGAGGGUGAUUUUCAUGAAAAUUGAAACAGAUCAUCUUCAGACCAUGCCGACACAAAAACAUGAAAUUCAAGUUGAUUCGUCAAACCGCUCUUGAAUAACUCGCGAACAAAUUCAACAAAGUAUGAAUAUGAGGCUAUAUCUCUGCAAUGCUUCAACAUUCAGACCAAACUUGGUGUGCAAACAUGACCUGAGGAUACCUGCACAGUCUCGGCACAGAAUAAAAUAUAUAUAUAUAUAUAUAUGUACUGUCUGUGUGUGUGUGUGUGUGUGUGUGUGUGUGUGUGUGCUUGCUUUGUAGACUGAGGCAAAAAAACAGUAUGUCAGUAUUAUUAAAAAACGCAACCCUUGUUACAUAUUAUGCAUCACCCCAACACUGUUUGGGAAUGGGAAACAUCACGUUUGCCUCAGCAUUUUUCAACAUCAAGUGUCUCAGAUGCAGCCAUUACAAACUUAUUAACCCCUGUAGGAUACAGUAUGUGAAACAUUUUUCAUCUUCUUCUUCCCGUCUUUCUUUCUCUCUCUUCAUCAUCCCAAUCUCCACAUUAUAAAGUGUUCCUGUCAUUAUUUCUGAUGACUCUUUUCUGCCAGACAUCCUAGAGCUCACCUGUUUAGCCCACUCUAUACAAGAGAGAGCCAGACGGAAUGAUGCAUUAAUGGAGGAAGGAGAGAGAGAGAGAGAGAGAGAGAGAGCAGAGGAAGAGAAUAAGGAGAGAAAUCUGAUCAAAUAAGCCAAUCAUGUGUGGAGCAGUAAUGAAGAGCCUGGAGGAGCAGCCUGUGUCCUCUCUCUCCAGAUGCGUGCAAGAUACUUUGUGUUGCGAUGAGGAGAUGAAGGGAGUUUGUGGAACUUUCCAUAAUUGCUUCUGAUAAGGGUUUAAAGCAAACACAGUGAGCGAAAUGAUGGGAGAAAAAACUUUUUCUCCUUGCUCGUCUCAAUGAACUGAAUCCAGGAGGGGGAAACAUUAGAAUCUCGUCAUCUCAGCAAUGGCUGCUCAAUUUACUGCAGUCUCCAGCCUUCUUUGGGCUCAAUUACACUCUAUUUUCUCAACGAGCACUUCAAUUUCUUUGUUAACGUUUUAUAUCUGUUCGUACCCUCUGGCCUAAUAACGUUUGCUAAAUUAACUUCUGAUGGAACUCGCGUAUUUAACAAAAAGAUUGAGCUUCGUUCCGGCAUACAAAUCUUGGAUUUUAAAAAAUGAGCAGCCAUAGUUCAUAUAAACAAACUCACUUUUAGCAUUUAAUCCUGUCAUGUUAAUCUGACAUGUUCUCUUAACCCUUAACCGAUGGUUUAAUCCUGUUUCCGGCAUUGGGAGCAUCUCAUACCUGCUGCAUUUUGCAUGGAUUCUGUCAUUUUCUAUCAUCUGUGACAUCCUUUUAUUUCAUUAUAAAAAAACUGCAUUGUAAUUUACUAUGGUUAUUUACAUCAAAUACAUAAAUGUAAAUGAACAAAAGAUUUCUAUUUUAAAUAACUGCUGUUCUUUCCAUUCAUUAAAGAAUCCUGAAACAGA